CCUACGGGAGGCAGCAGUGGGGAAUCUUGCACAAUGGGCGAAAGCCUGAUGCAGCCAUGCCGCGUGAAUGAUGAAGGCCUUAGGGUUGUAAAAUUCUUUCGUCAGGGAUGAUAAUGACCGUACCUGAAGAAGAAGCCCCGGCUAACUUCGUGCCAGCAGCCGCGGUAAU
rnacentral:rRNA from 1 species